AGAAGUUUAGGUUAAACAGACCAAGAGCCUUCAAAGCUCUAAGCAAGUAGUAAAUACUUAACUUNUG
rnacentral:tRNA from 1 species